CCCUUAGAUGUUCUGGGCCGCACGCGUGCUACACUGAGUGGAUCAACGGGUCAGGUUGCGCGAAAGUGUUUCCUAAUCUUGAAAUCCGCUCGUGAUGGGGAUUGACGGUUGCAAUUUUCCGUCAUGAACGAGGAAUACCUUGUAAGCGCGGGUCAUCAUCCCGCGCUGAAUACGUCCCUGCCCUUUGUACACACCGCCCGUCGCUCCUACCGAUUGAGUGGUCCGGUGAGGCUUUGGGAUCUGAGCAAAGAGAGCGUUUCGCUCGUUUUGCCCGGAAAACUCAGUCGAACCUUAUCAUUUAGAGGAAGGAGAAGUCGUAACA
rnacentral:rRNA from 1 species